CGUAGGGUGCGAGCGUUGUCCGGAAUUAUUGGGCGUAAAGGGCUCGUAGGCGGUUUGUUCGCGUCGGGAGUGAAACCAUGAGCUUAACUCAUGGGCUUGCUUUCGAUACGGGCGAGACUAGAGGUAUGCAGGGGGAGAACGGAAUUCCUGGUGUAGCGGUGAAAUAGCGCAGAUAUCAGGAGGAACACCGGUGGCGAAGGCGGUUCUCUGGGCAUUACCUGACGCUGAGGAGCGAAAAGUGUGGGGAGCGAACAGGAUU
rnacentral:rRNA from 1 species